rnacentral:lncRNA from 1 species
CUUCGGUACCCAUUUCACCUAUUCCUCUUCUAAUUUGCAAUUAAGAAGCCAACACAUAAAAGGAUUGUGCAACCGUAUUUUUUUUGUAAGGAUAACGAUAAAACUUUUCUAGAAAGGAAAAGUCUAUCAAAUCCUAUUCCUUUCCAAGAAUUACUCUCUCAAUUGAAACCAAACUCAUGAACCAUACAAAGCUCCAAAAUUCUUACUUAUUAACACUCCCC